rnacentral:rRNA from 1 species
AAACUUAAAGGAAUUGACGGGACCCGCACAAGCAGCGGAGCGUGUGGUUUAAUUCGAUGCUACACGAAGAACCUUACCAGGGUUUGACAUGCAAGUGGUAGGAAUCUGAAAAGGGACCGACCUUCGGGGAGCUUGCACAGGUGCUGCAUGGCUGUCGUCAGCUCGUGUCGUGAGAUGUUCGGUUAAGUCCGCUAACGAGCGCAACCCUCACUGUGUGUUAUAUGUGUCACACGGGACUGCCGGUUUUAAGCCGGAGGAAGGUGGGGAUGACGUCAAGUCAGCAUGGCCUUUAUAUCCUGGGCUACACACACGCUACAAUGGUCGGUACAAUAGGUUGCCAAGCCGCGAGGCGGAGCCAAUCCACAAAGCCGGCCUCAGUUCAGAUUGUAGGCUGCAACUCGCCUGCAUGAAGAUGGAGUUGCUAGUAACCGCAGGUCAGCAAUACUGCGGUGAAUACGUUCCCGGGUCUU